CUGAGAACCCUGACCGCAGCCCACCAACGCGGCCCCGGGGCCUGCUCUGAGCUCCGGUCGGCCCUCCUCCUGCCUACAUCAGAGCCUCCCCUGGGAGCCCCAGAGAUCCCCUCAGCUCCUUCUCGGGACAAAGGAACCCUCACUGCUGAGAGCCCCUGGGGGCUCCUCCCACUCCCCCACUUGGCUCCCUCUCUCCUCCUCACUCCCUUUGUGGUGGGCUUGGCCCAGGAGAGUCCUGGCACCGCCAGCUGCUCUGUAAGCCCCUGGGGGUGGCCAGCUGGGGGGGGGCUCCCCACUCCUGCCUGGCCAUAAUCACGGAGCCGUGCCUCGGGAUGUGGGCACACACUCGUGCACACGCACACCGUCUCAGCAACUGGGCUCUCCUGAGAGUCCCCUUCCCAACCCCCAAAACAAGACCUGCCGGCGCCCCCACCCCUUUCUCUCCGUUCUAUCCCCCUCCCCACAGCCCUAGGUACAGCUGCAGAAACUAAGGCUCAAAGAGGUCAAUUCCCUUCACUCCAUGUGGCAGAGCUGGGGUGGUCAGAGACCCUAGACCCCAGCUGAAGGCUCCCGCCCUAACAUGGGAAGCCCCUCCUGUGAGGCUUGAGCGGGUGCCCAGGACCAGACGGGCCAGCCCAGGUGAGAGGCUUCCUGCCCGGAGGCCCUGAGGGUGACCUAGCCAGGGACUCCAGUGCUCACAGGUCCGGGUGGGUCCCAGCCCCAGCUCAUCCUCUGUUUGCUGGCAGUGGCCCCUCUACUCUCCCCCAGGACUCCGGACAGCUCUGCACAGAGGCCUCAUCCCCACCCAGCUGGGCAGACUCCGACCUUGCCACCGGGUGCCUUCCCAUUCUCCUGGCUGCCAGCCAUUCCCCUCUUGCAGCCUCAGUUUCUGCAUCUGUAGGUUGGGAGUAAUGAGAUUCCCCAGCCGGCCCGCUGGGAAAGCUGGGCGUCCUGGGGGAGGGAAGGGGAAGGAAAUGCCAGGAGCUGGGUGGAACCAGGUCAGGGAGGCACAGGCUCAGCCCCAGCUGCAGCAGCCACUCUGUGGGCCCAAGCGAGCCCCAGGCCCUGGGCCUGUCCAUCUGUAAGCAGGGUGAUGGCACUGCCGGGCGCAGUGGCUGAGGGUGGACCCAGCCCAGCUGCCCUCCCUAGGCACUCAUCAGGCCCAGUGCUGGGGCAGGGCACCCGGCCCACACCACAUGGAUGGGGACAAACCUCCAGCUGGGCUACCCUGACAGGGACAGAGGCAAACAGGGCUCCCAGGAUUCCGGGGCCAGCACAGCUCUGUGGCUCCCGUAGUGUCAACUCCAGGCCCCAGAAAGGACUGCAGGGGACCAGGCUGCUCCUGGGGGACCCCAGAUGUCCUGGCUCUUCUCUAGGGGAUCUUGGGCUGAACAGGGGACUGAGGCCCCAGAGGAAGGGUCAAGACAGAUCCCUGAGGGUCCCCAGUCAUUUGUAAAUUACCUCUGCCCUCUGCAAAGAGUGAAUGCUGAUUCCUCGGCCUCUGCUCAAACAUAUGCACUCUCUCAGGUUCACGAUCACACAUCCCCUUACCAUUCGGCAGACCCCACCGGCUCUGUCCCAGCUCACCCCCUCCGCCUGGCCCUACCAUCCUCUGCCCCUCACCAAGGGGGACCCUCCAAUCCAAUCCCAUAAAUCAGGGUCCCCGAGCUGCACUCAAAGCCUCCGUCACCUUUCCUUGCUUGUGGAACAAACCCACCCUCCUUCUUCUGACUCUCACCCCUGCCACCUCAGUGUGUGCAGAGGAGCCUUCCCUGCACACAGCUGAAGUGGCCCUGUGGCCCCUACCCCGGACUUUGGCCAGGCCAUUGACCAGGCUGCUGCCUGCACCCAUGCCUUGGCUUCUGGGUCAUUUUUAUUGAUGGUAGCUUGGCCCGGCUUGGGGGCUUCACACACACCUCCCAUCCAGCAGCCCUAGGAGGUGGAACUGUUAUCAUCACCCCCAUCUCAGCACGCAGCAGAGCCAGGACCCAGACCUGCCCAGCCACAGCACCCUGCCACUGUACCAUGGGACUGUGCUGUUCACAGGGCCACUCCUGGCCUCUGGGGAGUCCCUCCAGGUAGGCCAGGCCAGGCCUGUGCUCUGUAAUGCAGCCCACGCAGGGCUCCCUGCUGCACAGGGCAGGGCGGUGGUCUGACAGCUCCCACCUCUCAGGGCCCAUGCACCCGCCAUGCCCAACCUGCCCAGCCCACCCAGGCCCAGCCACCGUCAGAGGGAGGUUGGCGAUGACUCAGGCCUUGAGUCAGCAGCAUUGGAUGAGGACGCAGCCAACCCUCUGCCAGCAUAAGGGAGCCCCAGAAGGCUCCGAGCUCUGCUAGCUGGGCUUGUGGGGACCCUUGGCUGGAACUGAACCAGGCUCAUCAGCACUCAGGAGCCACCUCCCAGGGAAAAUUCACACGCACACACACAAGCACACGCAUGCACACAGAGGAGGCCUGCCAUCAGGGUGGGUGGGGCUGGACUAACACCAGCCCAGGGAAGAGAAACCAGAGAUGGUGGGGCGUGGUGGGCAGUGAGGUGGGGUCUCGGCUGGAGGGGCUCACUCAGACUGUGGAGCACCCAUGUGCCUCCUAAACAGAAACUCCACACAGGCCAAGGAAACAGAGCUACCAGCUGACUCACUCUCCCAGCAAACACCAGCUCCUCCCAGAGCCAGGCCCUGGAAGAGAAGUCGACAUCACGAGCUGCCAUCUGGGGGGUGGCACCAGGCUGUGAAGGAUCCACAGACUGGCAUAUGCAGGAGGAAAUGGGGCGGGCGAGGGAUAAGGACCCCACAAAGCAGGGGCAGGGAAGGGCCCUCCCAGCGCCCCACAGUAACAGGGGCCUCAUCAAUGCCCCGUGCUCACUGAAUAAAGCACUGCCAGUGAAAGGUGAAAAGAGGAACAAAGAACAUUCUCCUGGACGCCACCCACAGAAAGCCGCCUGCAGGCUUGGCCCUCACCUUGGGGACCUUGGACACGGAGCUGGUUAUGUCACAUCUGGCUCUCAGAGCUGGGGGCAGCGUCUAGGAGGCCUGAUGUAGAAGGCGUUCGGCUAAGCCCUAGUUACCCGCACACGGGCACCAGCGCCCCCUCUCAGCAAACUCCACGUUUUAUGAAAUUAGGACUGGAAUUCCACUUUAUUUUGAAAAUAUGGCCAAGAUCCGUCCACGUGUGGCUGACUCAGAGCUGUGACAUUAAGGGAAAAUAAAGGAAAUGAUUGAGCUGCCUUUUCAGACAACACUGGAAUUUUUGAAGAACCCGAGAAUCAGUAUAUUGAAAGGUCUGCGCCACGGAGUCGCUGCUUGUGAAGCCCGUGUGCAUCCGAAGUGCUCACAAGGACGAUGGAAAGACGCUUCGUUCAUGAGCUCCUUUAAAAUGCCAGACAGGCUCCUCGAAAGGGACUGGGAGAGUUUAGUAGAUGAAUAAGAUUGGCAAAAUAAACCCAAAUGUGUGGGGGAAAAACUGAUUUUAUUAUUUUUAUUUAACUUUAUUUUAUUUUUUGAGACAGGGUAUCGCUCUGUCACCCAGGCUAGAGUGCAGUGGCAUGAUCUUGGCUCACUGCAGCCCCGGCUUCCCGGGUUCAAGCGAUCCUCAUACCUCAGCCUCCCAAGUAGCUAAGACUACAGACACACGCCAUGACGCCUGGUCAAUUUUCGUAUUUUUUAUAAAGGCAGGGUUUCCCCAUGUUGGCCAGGCUGGUCUUGAACCCCUGGGCUCAAGCGGUCCACCCUCCUCGGCCUCCCGAAGUGCUGGGAUUACAGGCAUGAGCCACUGUGCCUGGCAAAAAUGAGACUUUCAAUGUGCUACUUUAAUAAACUAAGUAUUAAUGUUGAAAACCC